AGACCAUGGUUAGGGUAUCUUUGAACCAACAUCUUAAACCGUUCCCAAACUUCAUGAAAACUUUCUCCUUCUAGUUGUUUAAAUGUUGCAAUCUCCCUCCUGAGUUG
rfam:Gossypium hirsutum cultivar TM-1 chromosome 3, whole genome shotgun sequence